rnacentral:rRNA from 1 species
AACGCUAGCUACAGGCUUAACACAUGCAAGUCGAGGGGCAGCAUGAACUUAGCUUGCUAAGUUUGAUGGCGACCGGCGCACGGGUGAGUAACACGUAUCCAGCCUGCCGAUGACUCGGGGAUAGCCUUUCGAAAGAAAGAUUAAUACCCGAUGGCAUAGUUCUUCCGCAUGGUAGAACUAUUAAAGAAUUUCGGUCAUCGAUGGGGAUGCGUUCCAUUAGGUUGUUGGCGGGGUAACGGCCCACCAAGCCUUCGAUGGAUAGGGGUUCUGAGAGGAAGGUCCCCCACAUUGGAACCGAGACACGGUCCAAACUCCUACGGGAGGCAGCAGUGAGGAAUAUUGGUCAAUGGACGAGAGUCUGAACCAGCCAAGUAGCGUGAAGGAUGACUGCCCUAUGGGUUGUAAACUUCUUUUAUACGGGAGUAAAGUGAGGCACGUGUGCCUUUUUGUAUGUACCGUAUGAAUAAGGAUCGGCUAACUCCGUGCCAGCAGCCGCGGUAAUACGGAGGAUCCGAGCGUUAUCCGGAUUUAUUGGGUUUAAAGGGAGCGUAGGCGGACGCUUAAGUCAGUUGUGAAAGUUUGCGGCUCAACCGUAAAAUUGCAGUUGAUACUGGCGACCUUGAGUGCAACAGAGGUAGGCGGAAUUCGUGGUGUAGCGGUGAAAUGCUUAGAUAUCACGAAGAACUCCGAUUG